CUCCUCUCUUUUCAGGAAGUUCAAAUUAUAGGGGACCAAAAUUAUCACUGUGGCUUUUACCUACCGCUACAGAAACUUGCUUAAGCCUUCCAAAGCUAUAAUGAUUUCUAAGUGCUGAAUCUCCAUGCAACAAGCAAUUCCAAAAUUGCAUUCAUAGGGGAGAAUAUGAUCUGAUCACUGAUCUGGACACCAAUAUAUGAAUAGAGAAAGAUAAUGUACAUGCAGUUAUCUUCGACUAUUCGCUGUCUUCCCCUUGCUUAGAUCUGCAAGCUCCUCAAUGAGCUUUCUUUCUUCACUGCCUAAUCUUUUUGGAAUUUCAACUUGUACGCGAACCAACUGAUCACCCCUCAUGUUGCUUUUGUUGAGCACUGGGACUCCUUUCUUUGCCAUCACAAGUGUUGUAUUCGGCUGAGUUCCAGCUGGGAUUUUGAGAUCGACCAUACCAUCAACUGUUGGUACCUUAAUCGUUGUACCCAAAAUUGCAUCUAUAUAUGACACUUUGCAUGUGUACAAGAUGUUGAUGUCAUCGCGUUUUAAUACAGGGUCUGGGAUGACUUCAAUAAUAACAAAGAGGUCACCAGGCGAGCCACCUCUCUUUCCAGCAUUACCUUCAGAUCGGACCCUCAAACGGCUUCCAGAGUCCACACCUGCUGGCACUUUCAAACUGAUACGCUUUGUUCUCCUUACCCGUCCAUCCCCAGAACAAGCGUUGCAGGGGGUAAAUGUUUCUCCUGUCCCACCACACGAAGAGCAGGUCAUUACCUGCUGGAAGACACCUAAUGGAGUCCUUGCAGAUGAGACAACCUGGCCUUGGCCACCACAUGCACUACAUUUAGAUGGCUUUGUCCCAGGUUUUGCACCUGAACCAUUGCAGGUCCCACAGCUCUCAAGUCGGGUUAUCUCAAUCUCUUUCUCAACCCCAAAAACUGCUUCCUUAAAAGUUAAAACAAGAUUGUAAUAUUCAUCCUGGCCAUCUACCGCUCUAUUCCUGGAAGCUCUGCCUCCCAUGCCGCCCAUACCUCCCAUUCCUCCCAUGCUCUCAAAUAGUGACUCAAACAAAUCAAAAGGAUUGCUGAAAUCCCCCAUGCCCAUACCAGCACCUUUAAGUCCAGCCUCACCAUACCUAUCAUAUAAAGAUCGUUUCUCAUCAUCUGAUAAGACCUCAUAUGCAUUACUAAUUUCCUUAAACUUCUGCUCUGCCCCAGGUUCUUUGUUCACAUCUGGAUGGUAACUCCUAGCAAGUUUUCGGUAAGCACUUUUGAUUUCAGAUUUACUUGCAUUUUUUGACACUCCAAGUACAGAAUAGUAUUCAAGAUCAGCUCUAACUGUAAAUCGUGAUCCCCUACGACGAUAUGCAGCUUGAGAUGGCCCCACAUAGGAUAAUAAGGGGAAGGAAUCCCGAGAAAAUAGACUUAAACUCGGUGCUGUCAAAUAGCUCAUCUUGUUGUUAAGACCAUAUUGAGAGGUUACUAUCCUAUUUUGCAUAUAGGAUCUAAGCAUAAACUGAGGUCGAAUACCCCAUUGAGCAACAGAUGUGCUUCCACAAGGUACAAUGGCCAUCCAAUAGAUUUUUAGUGAUGGAAUAAGUAUACACCUGAAACCCUUGCCCUUCAAGCUGUGUCUUCAACUGGAGAGUCGCUGGCUUCUUCGCUCUCUCGCACAGCGGGAUAGAGAGAGAGAGAGAGAGAGAGAUUGGUG
rnacentral:misc_RNA from 1 species